rnacentral:rRNA from 1 species
GACGAACGCUGGCGGCGUGCCUAAUACAUGCAAGUAGAACGCUGAAGGAGGAGCUUGCUUCUCUGGAUGAGUUGCGAACGGGUGAGUAACGCGUAGGUAACCUGCCUGGUAGCGGGGGAUAACUAUUGGAAACGAUAGCUAAUACCGCAUAAGAGUAGAUGUUGCAUGACAUUUGCUUAAAAGGUGCAAUUGCAUCACUACCAGAUGGACCUGCGUUGUAUUAGCUAGUUGGUGGGGUAACGGCUUACCAAGGCGACGAUACAUAGCCGACCUGAGAGGGUGAUCGGCCACACUGGGACUGAGACACGGCCCAGACUCCUACGGGAGGCAGCAGUAGGGAAUCUUCGGCAAUGGACGGAAGUCUGACCGAGCAACGCCGCGUGAGUGAAGAAGGUUUUCGGAUCGUAAAGCUCUGUUGUAAGAGAAGAACGAGUGUGAGAGUGGAAAGUUCACACUGUGACGGUAUCUUACCAGAAAGGGACGGCUAACUACGUG